rnacentral:tRNA from 1 species
CGACAACACGGUAUGCCCACGUGGUCCGUAGUAACGCGCAGCCGCACGCUCGCGGCCCUCCCGCGGCUGGACCGCGCGCCUCGGGACCGGAGCGGUCGUCCGCCAGCUGCCCGAAAAGCUAGAGUCCAAGGCGAGGCGACGAGUUCGUGCCCCGUGGGGAUCACAGGGCGGUGGCGGUGCGCAGACACAGUGAGGCCUCCGUAGCCCUCCCUCACUGCAGCCCCCUUCACCUGAGGCUGACUGUGAGGGCUCACGUCCGAUCGAAUUUUGCACCUGGAAGCUUCCGGGCCUGACGUCAUUACGCAGCCACACGGCGUCACAGUUCAAGAGGCAUGUGAUCGAGCGCCGCUUACGUGAAGCCCCAGUGGCCUAAUGGAUAAGGCACUGGCCUCCUAAGCCAGGGAUUGUGGGUUCGAGUCCCAUCUGGGGUGAGGUGGCAUAAUUGUGUAAGUGCUUUUUCCGUAGGACCUAAGAGGUAAAAACAAAUACAUCGGGCAAAGCUUUCUCUAUUUCAAGCGGUUUUGUGUGUUUUUGUUUUAGUGUGUGGAUGCCCCAGUUGCCGGUAAUUUGCCUUUUCUUUUUGAUGAAGCCCGACUGCACUUUGAAAGAUAAACCCAUGUGAGGGCAAACGCGGCCCCACUUCUUGUUGCCCCAGUUGGUAUCCAAACACACCUCGUGAAAGUGCCGUGAAGGCCACACAUCCACGCACGAGUGAGGCGCGCGUGUUCCCUGUGAGUCCAUCACUAUAAAGUUAAAAGCGGCGCAAACGGCAGCCCCCUGGCCCUUAAGCCGCCGGAGGGCAGGGGCAGGCGGGGUGGGGGUACUGCCCCCGCCCCGCGCCCUCAGCCUCGGUGUGGGCUCUGUCCCAUAGAACCGGCACCCACGGCCCACGGCCCCUGCUAGGACAAGGAGGGGUGCACGGAGGCACGUGUGUGCGUGCGCAGUGGACGGGGGGACAAGUAUUAGCCCAGGCCCGCAGGAAAAAGUGGCUCCGGAGUGUUUCAAAAGGGACUGUCGGAGAGAGGUAUGUUUAUUUUUUCCGUACUUUCAUAUGUAUAUAAUCCUUUAGUAAAAUGCUUACUUAAAAUAAUAUAUUGUUUUGGCCAGAUUGUUUUUUUCCUUCUUUCUUUCACUUCGGAGCACACUGCUCCAGAGGAGCUGUGGUUGGGCUUUCCGGGUUGACCAUCUCACAUUGUGUGCACUUGGGG